rnacentral:rRNA from 1 species
UGGGGAAUAUUGGACAAUGGGCGCAAGCCUGAUCCAGCAACGCCGCGUGGAGGACGAAGGCCUUAGGGUCGUAAACUCCUGUCAGUAGGGACGAAAAAGUAGGGUCGAACAGGCCCUGCCAUUGACGGUACCUGCAGAGGAAGCCCCGGCUAACUCCGUGCCAGCAGCCGCGGUAAUACGGAGGGGGCAAGCGUUAUUCGGAUUUACUGGGCGUAAAGGGCGUGUAGGCGGCUUGAUAGGUCAAAAGGUGAAAGCCCUCGGCUCAACCGAGGAACUGCCUUUGAAACCAUCUAGCUCGAGGCCGGGAGGGGGUAGCGGAAUUCCUGGUGUAGCGGUGAAAUGCGUAGAUAUCAGGAGGAACACCAGUGGCGAAGGCGGCUACCUGGACCGGUUCUGACGCUGAGGCGCGAAAGCGUGGGGAGCAAACAGGAUUAGAUACCCUGGUAGUCCA